rnacentral:rRNA from 1 species
UACGUAGGUGGCAAGCGUUGUCCGGAUUUACUGGGUGUAAAGGGCGCGUAGGCGGGAAUGCAAGUCAGGUGUGAAAUCUGGUGGCUCAACCACCAAACUGCACUUGAAACUGUGUUUCUUGAGUGAUGGAGAGGCAGGCGGAAUUCCUAGUGUAGCGGUGAAAUGCGUAGAUAUUAGGAGGAACACCAGUGGCGAAGGCGGCCUGCUGGACAUUAACUGACGCUGAUGCGCGAAAGCGUGGGGAGCAAACAGG